ensembl:lncRNA
UGUCACUCAAACAGUGCGCCUGCUGUGACUGAAGGACUCCUCACCUCCGCUACGACUGGGUGACAGGUGGUAAUGAGCAGGGAUCCCGGCAACCCACCAAUGAGUCACACCACAACACCACAAUAAGAGUCACUGGUCACAAUGAUGUACCGACACACAGGGACGACAUCACAGCCGGCGUUGUAAUUCUUUGCUUUUAUUCUUUGUAACUUCUUAGACAUGAAAUAAAGACAUAAAGUGUUUCCUUUUACAAAAAAAAAAAAAAAAACACAUCUGUGUGUGACUGUGUGAUGUGUGUGUGGCAUUGUGCAAAGUCGAGACGAUACAAGGAGAAACGCAUGUUACCCCACACACCCAGGCCGGGAUAGCGGAGAGAAGUACACUCGACAGGAAAGGUUUCUAGUGGUGGGUAAACUGAGUUGGGUGGGCAUUGCACCACCAACCUUCUGAAACACAUUAGCUUUAGCACAUAAGAGGUUGAGAUGCCCUGUUAUUUGAGCAAACCAAAUCCCUCUCACACAUUUCGGAUCGUCCGUGGUGCAGUUGUCAGUGAACAGGACACUUCCAACCCAAAGCCUAAACAUGCAGUACUUGCUAUUGUAAACUUGCUUCUUAAACAGUAUCACUAAAUGUAUUGAAGGAUGAUUGAUUGAAUGAUUGAUGACACCUUUAUCAAUGCUUAGAAAACACUCAAACUGUUACUUUAAUUCUUCGUUGUUAGCAUUGAGAAAUGCCUGGCAGGCUUAUCAAAUUUUUUGUAAUCAUCGUCUUUAAAAGUCCUCAACCACUACUGUAUUUCUGGGUAUUUCCAUUGUAUUUACACAGCACAUUUAAUAUUUUGUAUGUAUUAGUAGUAAAUAUUUGUAUAUUUAUUUAUUUAUUAGAUAGACAGCAAAACAGAUCAUUCAAGGUUGCAGAUUGAAUUUGUAAAAUCUGCCCAAAUUGUGAAUACCCCAUCUUACAUGUAGAAAAAAGUACAGUUUGAAGUGACUAUGAACAGAAUGCAGGCCAACUAGUCUAUUUUUUAGGCACUAAAAACAAGACAACAUCGCUCAAAGGAACUCAGAGAUCACGAUGUUACAAAUCCUUUUUUGUCAAUUUAAAUGCCUUCAUACACAAUGUUGUUCACAUUGCAGAACAUAAUAGGCAGACAUUUGUAAGCUAUACUCACAAUAUCAAGGAAUGGAUACAUAUAUAACCUUUGUCUCAUUUUUACACAUUCGAUAUUCAACACAAAUAUAAAGCUAGUAAUCAACACAGCAGUGACAACAGACCCAGACAUGCAUGCAUACAAACACACACACACACACACACACACACACACACACACACACACACACACACACACACACACACACACACACACACACACACACACACACACACACACACACACACACACACACACACAAAUUCAAAUAUUAAGAAUGAUGAAACUAUUUCAAACAGCAAUAACAUGCUGCUUGGGAUGACAUCUUGGGGCCAUGCUAAUGAAUGCUUUCGCCUCAAAGUGACAUUAAUGGUCCAUUUGCAAUACAAUAUGUAGAUACAUUGAGUUACACUGCGAGUGUCUUGAAGUUGGAAUGGUGAUAAUACAACUGAAUAGAUCUCAAUGGAUCUAAUAUAGUCCAUGAUACAUUGUACAAUAUUUGGUUCAUAAAUAAGGUGUUCAGUUAGUUAUUAGUGUUAUAUAGUGUAUAGCUUUUUAUAGAUAUUCCAUUUUCGGUAGUUAAGACAUUGUGAGAAAUUUCUUUUUUUUAUUCUAUAUUAUCUAUUAUAAUACAAUACAACCAUUCUAAACUAAAACUUAUGGCUGGGAGAAUUACAACAGACUUGAACAUGCAAUAUUUACAGCACUGAUCUGGGCCAGCAGGGUGAGGGAGCAUGUAUUAUGCUUGUGUGUGUGUGUGUGUGUGUGUGUGUGUGUGUGUGUGUGUGUGUGUGUGUGUGUGUGUGUGUGUGUGUGUGUGUGUGUGUGUGUGUGUGUGUGUGUGUGUGUGUGUGUGUUGUUUUAAGCGGAUUGAAGAUGCUUUCAGUAUUGCCAAGAUUUUUCGGUUUAUUUAUUCAUCCUGGAAUUUGGACUUAUCCACUAUUUCUUUUUCAGUGUUAAACCAUGUAAUGCCAUUACUUUAUCUUGCUCGUGUAUAUAACUUGAUUUUUAUUGAACCUAAACCGCAUCAUUCAUCGAACCCCAUGCUUUUAAUAUUUAAUGUCAUGUUAAUAUGCUAGCAAAUUAGACAUUUUAUUUGGCUCUUGUCACGUUGCCUUAUCAAAUACAUAUGAAAUUUCUAACUGUCACCAAAACACUACACAGGGGUCCAGUAGGAAUGAGGUUGGUAGACCAAGGUCAAGUCUCAAGUUUCCAUAUUGUUUGUGGAGAAUGAACCUUUUUAUUGUGCUUCUCUUGACAAAUCCUUUGAAAAAAAUUACCAAAAAUGAUUUGGUAAUUUUAUCGAACAAUACCUAGUCUUUCAUUGGUUUAGGUGGGGUAAUUUUAACCAUGAGGUAGAGAUAUCGUUUUUAUUUUUUUAAUCAUGCAUCAAAUGUAUCUUCUCACCUCCUUUAUCUAACUGAUAACUAAUACUAAAUCCCUUUGCAUCCACAUCUGCAGCCCUAUAGCUUUAAGACGUCUGGAUAGGGACGCAGCUGUAUUUGGCAAAGGCAAAAGCAACAGUGAGGCAGACGUUCUUGUGGACAUCAGAGGAGGAGCAAAUAAGGGGCUUUGAUCCAUUUUUGAUAAAUGGGCCAAGCACCACAAGCAGGCUACAAAUGUCGAACUUAGUUUGGGAAUAUCUGGUCCACAUCGUUAAAUAGGACUCAAUAUACAUACUUUUGUCAUGGCUAUGUACAGAUAUAUUUACUUUAGUUACAAUGAUGCUGCUGAAAGAAAAGGUUUAUAGUGAUGGAUUUAGCCAUGUAGUUCUAUCUCUCGGUUAUAGAUAACCACAUGUGGUAAAUAACAAGGUAUCACAAGAUGGUAUCAUAAAGUGGCUGAAGUUUCAGCAGGCAUCUGUGACCUCCUUCAAUUCAAACAGUUGAUAAAAAAUCAAGGUGUUAAUGGUCAUUAUUGAGUAUUCAGUCUAUAAAAAAAUCCAAACCUUUCAACAAAAAAAUAUAGCAAUUGAGCGGUCGCAUCAAAAUCUAAACUGCUCCGAUAAAACAAUGUUUUUAGUAUAGUAAGUAUGUUUUUUAUGUUAUUGAAAGUAGCAACUUAUUCCUUUUUGUGAUGGAGUUGAAAACAAGUGUAUUUAAGGGAAAGGAUGUCUGUGUGCAGAAUCUUUUACAUAAACGGUGGCAACUAAAUGAGAAUGCAAAAGGCCGUAAGUGCCUGUCUCUUCCCUUUCAGAACCAUGAAAACCAUGUUUUACUUUUGUAGUACAUUUGCAACAACGGGAGAGAUUUGCAAACCAAAUCCAUGAAAACCAUAUGAUCCCGAUUUGUGGAUGAGGAUAAGACCAUGGAUGGAAGUGUUCCAGGACGUUGUUUUCAGACCGCUGAACAUGUGUUUUGUUUCAUCCGCUCCUUUCAAGAGGUGGUUUCUCUACUCCUUGUUGAAGAAACAUUCUUGCAGAGUUAAUGUAUUGCCAUUCCAAGUUGUGAUGGGUACGUUUGAUCUGUGUAUAAUCGUGACUUCCCACAAUUAUCUGAGACGACAAAACUGCCGAUGUUCAAAGAUAAGCUCAAAAAGUUCAUGCUUUUGACUGUUUGACUAUUGUAUCCACAUGCUUGACGAAAGAGCAGGUAUCUUAAUGGGCAUUCGUGUUUCAAUUGAGUUGCUUUCAACUUGUGUAGUGUAGAAUUUUACAGAUGAGUGUGUUUGUCAAUCACUUUCUUAAAUUAUUAGUUGUAAACCAUGGUGUUUACCAUAAAUUGUUAGAAAAUCCUAGACCUAAAUUUGGGUUAACAAUUUAGCUGUAAACUCUGCAAAAGAUACUGUUUGCAGUUUGGCAGUUGUACUGUGAAGUAACCAAACUAUAAAAGAGAGAGUACAAUCUAAAAGAUUAAGCCACAAGGAGUUGAACUACCUAUAACAUUAUUUGAUCAUUGAUCUGCUCAUGUGAACUGAUGUUUGGAUUAAAACGUCUCAAAGGUUAUGUGUUAGAUACAAACGAGUGAUAUAUCCUUAUUUAGCUACGAUUAGGUUCAGGCAUUAGAAGUGGGAUAUUUAAUUCACGGCCCCUGGAAGUGUGGUUUCACUUCUUCAUGAUGUGGUGGGGGCCGUGUUGGCUAUCAGUGGGUCUUUCCUUGCGUCUGUCCAGGGCUGGGAUCAGGUGGUGGUCUCUUCAGCCUGGACUCCAGGGGCGUCGGCCUUCAGCUCCACCUCGGGGGUCUUCGGGGGGACUACCUUCGGAGCCGCUUCUGGACUGGCUUUGGAUCCGGGUGCGGGUUCGGGGGUGCCGUUGACGGUGGGGGCUGAUUCAGGUGCAGCGCUGGGCUCCGGGGUGGGAGUGAGGGCAGGCUUGGCCUCUGGGGUGGGGGGAGCGGUGCGGGCGGAGGGAGCCAUUGGGGAGGAGGCCUUCAGCGCCAGGCCCGGGCUGGGGACGGGACUGGGCUCGGGGGUCUUGGCCCGCUCACCUGGCUUGGAGCCGGGGCUCAGGCCGGCUCUGGGCUCAGGGCUCUGGGCCGGGCUAAGCUUGACGUCUGCAAAGGUGGGGAUGUUCAGCGCGUAGUCGGGUGUGCUGUUGGUGUCAGGUGGUGGCGGCUGUACAUCAACGGAGGGCGGGGCACUGGGUGUGGUCACGGCGGCGGCGGCGGCGGCGGCGGGUGGGCUUGGCUUAGGGGCCGGCGGUGGAUUUGUUCUCCGAUGUCGGUGUCGGUGUCCAAAGGAGGGCGGUGGUGUUGAAGCCCACUCCGGAGUCACUAGUCUCCAUGUUGUCCACGCCCAACG